UGCAUCGCCCCCACCGCUUCGCCUCAAUUGGCACCAGCGCAGGCCACCCCGCCGCUCGACCUCGACUCGCACCAGAGGCGACCACCACCAUCCUCGCUGCUCCCUACCCUCCCCCAGCCCGAUAUGGAUGCCUAACCCGCGGGAACGGGCAGGCGGACGGCGGGCGAUGUGAGGCGCGGUGGCGGCACGAGGAAGAUGGGCAGAUCCGGGCAUGGCGUUGACCGAUCUGGUGGCUGGUGCGCGGCUUGUUCCGGUCCCAAUGACAUCCUGCUCAUCCAUAGAAGGAGAGAGAAGGGCCCGAGGGAGAGAGGAAACAGAUGAAGAAAGGAGAAGGGGCAUACGCAGGGUGAGGGAGGAAGUCGCCGGCGGUGGCGGCUCCGGUGACUGGCCGACGGGCUUGCUAGGCAAGGCUAAGGAGUACGCUAGCCUGAGAUUCGAUAGAGCAUGAAUUGAAUGAAUUUUGCACCACGGGGAAGAAGUUGUGGUGGCGGCGAAUUAUGUAGCCAUUGUCUCUCACGACUGCCGGCCCCUGCUCGCGACAUCUCUACUGAAGCCGCCUCUGCCUACUCUGGUGUGUUGCAGCUCCUUACUCUAGCCACAUGUCACUUGCUCUCCCGCUAGCCUCUGCCUGCUCUGGUCUCGAAGUUGAUGACACCCUGAUGCAAAGCUUCCACAAUCAUCCGCUCCGUCUCAGCAGGAGGAGAGCAAUGGAAAUAACACCCCGUCGCGGUCCUGGUGCUUCUCUCCGUGGGUUCGCUUGCUCACCUCGGCGUUUGCGGCUUCUACAGGUACGUACUAGACAACUACCCAUUGUUUUUGUUUUCUAUUGACAGUUUGAUCGCUUCAUCAAUCCUUCUAGAGGGUCUUGACAGGAAGGACUGAGCAGCCAUUGUGCUGGAGUAGACUGUGUGACAGGUUUUUUCCUCUCUCUCCUACCCGUGAUUGGUUUCUUUGGUGAAGAAAGCAUCACUGUCUUUCAAUACAUCAUGGAUGCUCAACCUGUAUGUCUACAUGGUACAAGAAUGAAUAUUAACCAUUCAAUCUAUUGAUUCAGAGUGAGACAAGGGUGAAACAGAAUAAGCUCAUUUUUGUGAUGAGUUCCCUAGGCCCCAGAAGGCCAGAACUAGCAUUUUAAUUACAAAAUUCAGUUUUUGAUCACGUUAUUUCAGUUUCAUUAUAGACCUUAUAAUAUUUUUUAUGGAUUAAUAUAAGGUUUAUAAUAUUUUGUGGAGCAAUCAGUUGUGCAUAGAAAAGAGCUCACCUAAAUUAAUGACAUGUUCAUCUUAUCUUCGAUUAAAAAAUUUGCCCCCUAAUAUUCAAUUCUACUGAGAGUUGUAGAAGGCAAAAAUCCAGCAAAUUAACUCAAGUAAGUGUUUUUGUUAUUUCCCAAUGUAAUUAAAAAAUUUCUUCUCAAAAU